rnacentral:rRNA from 1 species
CCUACGGGGGGCAGCAGUGGGGGAUAUUGCACAAUGGGGGAAACCCUGAUGCAGCGACGCCGCGUGAGUGAAGAAGUAUUUCGGUAUGUAAAGCUCUAUCAGCAGGGAAGAAAAUGCCAUUACCUAACCAACAAUCCACUGCUAACUACGUCCCAGCAGCCGCGGUAAUACGGAGGGCGCAAGCGUUAUCCGGAUCUACUGGUUGUAACGGGAGCGUAGACGGUUAUGUAAGUCUAGGGUGAAAGCCCCGCGCCCAACCCGGGGACUGCUUUCGAAACUGGGAAACUGGAGUGCAUGAGGGGAAGGCGGAAUUCCUGGUGUAGCAGUGAAAUGCGUAGAUAUCAGGAGGAACAUCAGCGGCGAAGGCGACCAGCUGG